AGUGAACGCUGGCGGUAGGCCUAACACAUGCAAGUCGAACGGCAGCACAGUAAGAGCUUGCUCUUACGGGUGGCGAGUGGCGGACGGGUGAGGAAUACAUCGGAAUCUACUUUUUCGGGGGGGAUAACGUAGGGAAACUUAUGCUAAUACCUCAUACUACCUACGGGUGAAAGCAGGGGAUCUUCGGACCUUGCGCGAUUGAAUGAGCCGAUGUCGCAUUAGCUAGUUGGCGGGGUAAAGGCCCACCAAGGCAACGAUCCGUAGCUGGUCUGAGAGGAUGAUCAGCCACACUGGAACUGAGACACGGUCCAGACUCCUACGGGAGGCAGCAGUGGGGAAUAUUGGGCAAUGGGCGCAAGCCUGAUCCAGCCAUACCGCGUGGGUGAAGAAGGCCUUCGGGUUGUAAAGCCCUUUUGUUGGGAAAGAAAAGCAGCAGGUUAAUACCCCGCUGUUCUGACGGUACCCAAAGAAUAAGCACCGGCUAACUUCGUG
rnacentral:rRNA from 1 species